AUUGAACGCUGGCGGCAGGCCUAACACAUGCAAGUCGAACGAGUGGCGGACGGGUGAGUAAUUUCUGGGAAACUGCCUGAUGGAGGGGGAUAACUACUGGAAACGGUAGCUAAUACCGCAUCCCAUCAGAUGUGCCCAGAUGGGAUUAGCUAGUUGGUGGGUUAACGGCUCACCAAGGCGACGAUCCCUAGCUGGUCUGAGUGGAUGACCAGCCACACGGGAACGUAGACGCGGACCAGACUCGGAAGGGAGGCAGCAGUGGGGAAUAUUGCACAAUGGGCGGAAGGCUGAUGCAGCCAGGCCGCGUGUAGGAAGAAGGCCUUCGGGGUGUAAAGUAUGUCCAUUGGGGAGGCGUUACCCGAAGAAGAAGCACCGGCUAACUCCGUGCCAGCAGCCGCGGUAAUUC
rnacentral:rRNA from 1 species